GACUUCGUGAUGUAGUCGGUUAUCAUAUCUGCUUUACACGCAGAAGGUCGACGGUUCGAAUCCGCCCGAAGUCA
rnacentral:tRNA from 1 species